rnacentral:piRNA from 1 species
CUUGUGAUGGUAUCGUAGGUAAUCUGU